AAACUGUCAGGGAACAACAGCUCAAUUGUUAUUUCAAAUGCGGGGAACAUCAUGGUAGAGAUAAACAAAUGCUGUUAUCAAUGUUGAAAUCUAACAUCAAAAAUAUUCCCUGCAUCACAUGCUCUGAAACAUCAUAAUGCGGUUGAAUGUUUUAAACUUGGUCAGCUUUGCAGCUCAUAUGGUAGAAAUUCAAUCCGUGAAUGUGACAGUCAGGGUUGUGGUGAUUUCGGAACACCAAGAGGUUCUCGUACACACAAUGGUGUCGACAUAAUUUGCAAACCAGGGAGUUCUGUCAUGACACCAUUUGCUGCGAAGAUCUGACGAAAAUCACGUUCUUAUUCAAACAACAACAAACCAUAUAACAAUGGAUUGUAUAUUCAAGGAAGCGGAGAAGCCGAAGGUAUCAUCUCUCUCACAUUAAUAACCAAAUUCAUAUUAGGCACGGGAAAUUCAUCUUAGACAGGAAAGUUGAUUGUAAAAACCC
rnacentral:misc_RNA from 1 species